rnacentral:sRNA from 1 species
UCGGCAGUGCCGGAGUCGGGUGGGUUGGCGGCUAUAAAGCUGGUGGCGAAGGGGAGGCGCCGCGGACUGUCCUUUCGUGGCUCACUCUGUUUCCUCUGCUGCCGCUCGGUCACGCUUGCUCUUUCACCAUGCCUGGAUCACUUCCUUUGAAUGCAGAAGCUUGCUGGCCAAAAGAUGUGGGAAUUGUUGCCCUUGAGAUCUAUUUUCCUUCUCAAUAUGUUGAUCAAGCAGAGUUGGAAAAAUAUGAUGGUGUAGCUGCUGGAAAGUAUACCAUUGGCUUGGGCCAGGCCAAGAUGGGCUUCUGCACGGAUAGAGAAGAUAUUAACUCUCUUUGCAUGACUGUGGUUCAGAAUCUUAUGGAGAGAAAUAACCUUUCCUAUGAUUGCAUUGGGCGGCUGGAAGUUGGAACAGAGACAAUCAUUGACAAAUCAAAGUCUGUGAAGACUAAUUUGAUGCAGCUGUUUGAAGAGUCUGGGAAUACAGAUAUAGAAGGAAUUGACACAACUAAUGCAUGCUAUGGAGGCACAGCUGCUGUCUUCAAUGCUGUUAACUGGAUUGAGUCCAGCUCUUGGGAUGGUAUGUUACAUGCGUAUUCCCUGCCGUCCCCCCAAAUUUUUUCUAAGGUUCAAUAGACCCAAAUGACACUUUAAUUAAUGCAAUAUGCAAACUUUUAUAAUUUAUCCUUGUUUGGCUAUAUUAAGAAAGAUAUUAUACCUGUCUGUCGUUAUCCGAAUUGUGAAUUGGUUAUCUUAUCUUGUAGGACAAAUGAUCUAUUCAAAAUUUAGUCAGAUGGGUGACAGAGCCCUGGCAGAUGAAUUAAAAAAAAUUAGAGCAUUUUCUUUCUUCAUCAAAGAAGGAAAAAGCAUAUUCUGGGGAAAAUAUAACAGACUUCAGUUUCCAUGUGUGGUUAUAGUAUUGAAUUCCUUCUUGUGAAAUAAUAAAAAAU